CUUGAUUAUCACUAUGCUGAAGAUUGUAUUUUUUGUAGUUAUUAUUUUCGCAUCAGUGUAUUUUGCAAAAUCGGAUGAUGGCGAUAGGAAGGAAAUGAACGUGGAUCCCAUCCAGCUAAACUGUUCAUACGACACCAAAAACUCUUGGACCAAUACUUCCGGCAAUCCUGACAGAUAUUUUACUGCGCUUGUGGUUGUAGCAUCACUUCUUGUAUGCUCCAUGAUUAUCAAUGUCAUUUUGGGAAUACAAGUAGCCAAAAAAAGUACAGCAGUGUUAACAUGAAUAGCAGUUUAGAACUGCGAUCAGCAUUCAUUUGCAAUACGUCACACGGGGAAGCCGCGCGAAUCUGCACCCAGCAAUUCUGUGGACGAACCACGACGAGGCCCAGCUCUUCAGAGUUUUCUGUCAAAAAACAAUCCAGAAAGAGAAGAGGAAACAGCAUUUCACCGAUGAUAGCCUGUACCAGGCAUCGAAGCACCCGGGCCGGACGCCUCGCUUGGUCACCGAACUCGGAUCGAGAGAUGAUCGAUCGAUACGACAGGAAGCAGGCGCGAUACAAGCGAUGGAGAAUUUACUGAUGAGCGAAUACAAAAAACAAUCCAACAGUCACAAAAGAAACAUUACGUUAUAAAUUUAACAAGCAGCGGAAACCGGCGGCCGAAUUACAGAGAAUAUUUCAUCUAAAUUAGCCGAGGCUGGUGUCGUUCCCAGGAUGGAUGCCGCGUUUCCACGUUGGAUCUCGAUGUUGAACCUCUGGCGCAGAUAUUCCGUUGCACGUAAAAAAAAGCGAUGGAGUAUCCGCGUCAGCGUAUCCGCAUGAAAGUCUGACGCGGGAACGCGUCCUCUGUCAUGCAUGGGAACAGCACCAGCACCGGCUAAUUUACAUACAACAAUGUUCUUCGUGAUGAGGCCGCCUAUUUCCGUUGCUGGCUGAGACUGUGUAGUUAUUGGAAGCUGCGUAUUUUAUUGAUUACUUGUUGCUGUUUCCAGUGAUUUGUAUAAGUUGCAGGCAGAAGCACUUAAUAAUAAUUAUGAAUGCUCUUGAGUUAAGUUAGACACAAUCAGCGCUUCAGAAUGACUAAAUUUAUAUGUUAAAAGUCGACCAACAGGUUCCAACAGAACCGUAAAUAAAACAAGAA